UCUCGUGACUGCGUGCCUUUUGAAGAAUGAGCCUGCGAGUUUGCGGUGUGUUGCGAGGUUAACCCGUGUGGGGAAGCCGUAGCGAAAGCGAGUCCGAAUAGGGCGGUUUAGUAGCGCGCUCAAGACCCGAAGCGGAGUGAUCUAGCCAUGGGCAGGUUGAAGCGGAGGUAAGACUUCGUGGAGGACCGAACCCACCAGGGUUGAAAACCUGGGGGAUGACCUGUGGUUAGGGGUGAAAGGCCAAUCAAACUCCGUGAUAGCUGGUUCUCCCCGAAAUGCAUUUAGGUGCAGCGUCGUGUGUUUCUUGCCGGAGGUAGAGCACUGGAUAGGCGAUGGGCCCUACCGGGUUACUGACCUUAGCCAAACUCCGAAUGCCGGUAAGUGAGAGCGCGGCAGUGAGACUGUGGGGGAUAAGCUCCAUGGUCGAGAGGGAAACAGCCCAGAGCAUCGACUAAGGCCCCUAAGCGUACGCUAAGUGGGAAAGGAUGUGGAGUCGCAGAGACAACCAGGAGGUUGGCUUAGAAGCAGCCACCCUUGAAAGAGUGCGUAAUAGCUCACUGGUCUAGUGAUUCCGCGCCGACAAUGUAGCGGGGCUCAAGCGUACCGCCGAAGUCGUGUCAUUGCGAUAUGUACCCCCAACGGGGAUCGUGAUGGGUAGGGGAGCGUCGUGUGCCGGGUGAAGCAGCACCGGAAGGUAGUUGUGGACGGUUCACGAGUGAGAAUGCAGGCAUGAGUAGCGAUUCACACGUGAGAAACGUGUGCGCCGAUUGACUAAGGGUUCCUGGGUCAAGCUGAUCUGCCCAGGGUAAGUCGGGACCUAAGGCGAGGCCGACAGGCGUAGUCGAUGGAUAACCGGUUGAUAUUCCGGUACCCGCUGUGAAGCGUCAAACAUCGAACCAGGCGAUGCUAAGUCCGUGAAGCCGUUCCGGACCCUUCGGGGAAAGGAAAGUGGUGGAGCCGACGAACCAGACUUGCAGUAGGUGAGUGAUGGGGUGACGCAGGAAGGUAGUCCAGCCCGGGCGGUGGUUGUCCCGGGGUAAGGGUGUAGGCCGGUGUGUAGGUAAAUCCGCACACCUUGUGGCUGAGACCUGAUGCCGAGCCGAUUGUGGUGAAGUGGAUGAUCCUAUGCUGUCGAGAAAAGCCUCUAGCGAGUUUCAUGGCGGCCCGUACCCUAAACCGACUCAGGUGGUCAGGUAGAGAAUACCGAGGCGUUCGGGUGAACUAUGGUUAAGGAACUCGGCAAAAUGCCCCCGUAACUUCGGGAGAAGGGGGGCCACACCUGGUGAGAGUACUUGCUGCUCGAGCUGGGGGUGGCCGCAGAGACCAGCGAGAAGCGACUGUUUACUAAAAACACAGGUCCGUGCGAAGCCGUAAGGCGAUGUAUACGGACUGACGCCUGCCCGGUGCUGGAACGUUAAGGGGACCGGUUAGUCAUUCUUCGGGAUGGCGAAGCUGAGAACUUAAGCGCCAGUAAACGGCGGUGGUAACUAUAACCAUCCUAAGGUAGCGAAAUUCCUUGUCGGGUAAGUUCCGACCUGCACGAAUGGCGUAACGACUUCUCGACUGUCUCAACCAUAGGCCCGGUGAAAUUGCACUACGAGUAAAGAUGCUCGUUUCGCGCAGCAGGACGGAAAGACCCCGGGACCUUUACUACAGUUUGAUAUUGGUGUUCGGUUCGGCUUGUGUAGGAUAGGUGGGAGACUUUGAAGCGGGCACGCCAGUGUUCGUGGAGUCGUCGUUGAAAUACCACUCUGGUCGUGCUGGAUGUCUAACCUGGGUCCGUGAUCCGGAUCAGGGACAGUGUCUGAUGGGUAGUUUAACUGGGGCGGUUGCCUCCUAAAGAGUAACGGAGGCGCCCAAAGGUUCCCUCAGCCUGGUUGGCAAUCAGGUGUUGAGUGUAAGUGCACAAGGGAGCUUGACUGUGAGACCGACGGGUCGAGCAGGGACGAAAGUCGGGACUAGUGAUCCGGCGGUGGCUUGUGGAAGCGCCGUCGCUCAACGGAUAAAAGGUACCCCGGGGAUAACAGGCUGAUCUUCCCCAAGAGUCCAUAUCGACGGGAUGGUUUGGCACCUCGAUGUCGGCUCGUCGCAUCCUGGGGCUGGAGUCGGUCCCAAGGGUUGGGCUGUUCGCCCAUUAAAGCGGUACGCGAGCUGGGUUUAGAACGUCGUGAGACAGUUCGGUCCCUAUCCGCUGUGCGCGUAGGAGUCUUGAGAAGGGCUGUCCCUAGUACGAGAGGACCGGGACGGACGAACCUCUGGUGUGCCAGUUGUUCUGCCAAGGGCAUGGCUGGUUGGCUACGUUCGGGAGGGAUAACCGCUGAAAGCAUCUAAGCGGGAAGCCUGCUUCGAGAUGAGGACUCCCACCCACUUGAUGGGGUAAGGCUCCCAGUAGACGACUGGGUUGAUAGGCCGGAUCUGGAAGCACGGUAACGUGUGGAGGUGACCGGUACUAAUAGGCCGAGGGCUUGUCCUCAGUUG
rnacentral:rRNA from 1 species